UACAGAGACCUCAAACAUUGUCCGGAUUUAUUGGGCGUAAAGGGUCCGCAGGCGGUCUAGCGCGUCACUUGUCAAAUGUUCGGGCUCAACCCGAACACUGCAUGUGAUACGGCUAGACUAGAGGGUGGGAGAGGCGAGCGGAAUUACCGGUGUAGUAGUAAAAUGCGUUAAUAUCGGGAGGAACACCUGUGGCGAAAGCGGCGCACUGGACCACAACUGACGCUGAGGCGCGAAAGCUAGGGGAGCAAACAGG
rnacentral:rRNA from 1 species